rnacentral:rRNA from 1 species
UACGUAGGGCGCAAGCGUUAUCCGGAAUUAUUGGGCGUAAAGAGCUCGUAGGCGGUUUGUCGCGUCUGCCGUGAAAGUCCGGGGCUCAACUCCGGAUCUGCGGUGGGUACGGGCAGACUAGAGUGAUGUAGGGGAGACUGGAAUUCCUGGUGUAGCGGUGAAAUGCGCAGAUAUCAGGAGGAACACCGAUGGCGAAGGCAGGUCUCUGGGCAUUAACUGACGCUGAGGAGCGAAAGCAUGGGGAGCGAAAGGG